CGUAACACGUAAGCAACCUGCCCCAAAGACCGGGACAACAUUCCGAAAGGAGUGCUAAUACCGGAUGUGCCCAUCUGUUGACACCUUCGGAUGAGUAAAUCAAGCAAUUGGCUUUGGGAGGGGCUUGCGGCCUAUCAGCUAGAUGGUGGGGUAACGGCCUACCAUGGCGACGACGGGUAGCUGGUCUGAGAGGAUGGUCAGCCGGAUUGGGACUGAGAUACGGCCCAG
rnacentral:rRNA from 1 species